CGCCUCUUUAUCAAAAACAUUGCCUCCUGCAACACAAACCAAGUAUAGGAGGUCCAGCCUGCCCAGUGACUACAAGUUCAACGGCCGCGGUAUUUUGACCGUGCAAAGGUAGCGCAAUCACUUGUCUUUUAAAUAGAGACCUGUAUGAAUGGCUAAACGAGGGCUUAACUGUCUCCCCUUUCCAGUCAGUGAAAUUGAUCUACCCGUGCAGAAGCGGGUAUAAUAAUACAAGACGAGAAGACCCUUUGGAGCUUAAGGUACAAAACUCAACCACGUUAAGCAACUCAAUAAAAAAUGAAAACUUUGUGGAAUAUGAGAUUUUACCUUCGGUUGGGGCGACCACGGAGGAAAAAAAAGCCUCCAGGUGGACCGGGAGAAUUUCCUAAAACUAAGAGAGACAUCUCUAAGCCACAGAACAUCUGACCAAAUAUGAUCCGGCUAAUACAAGCCGAUCAACGAACCAAGUUACCCUAGGGAUAACAGCGCAAUCCUCUCCCAGAGUCCAUAUCGACGAGGGGGUUUACGACCUCGAUGUUGGAUCAGGACAUCCUAAUGGUGCAGCCGCUAUUAAGGGUUCGUUUGUUCAACGAUUAAAGUCCUACGUGAUCUGAGUUCAGACCGG
rnacentral:rRNA from 1 species